rnacentral:rRNA from 1 species
GACGAACGCUGGCGGCGUGCUUAACACAUGCAAGUCGAGCGGUAAGGCCCUUUCGGGGGUACACGAGCGGCGAACGGGUGAGUAACACGUGGGUGACCUGCCCUUAGCUCUGGGAUAAGCCUGGGAAACUGGGUCUAAUACCGGAUAUGACUCCAUGACGCAUGUUGUGGGGUGGAAAGCCUUGUGCGGCUAGGGAUGGGCCCACGGCCUAUCAGCUUGUUGGUGGGGUGANGGCCUACCAAGGCGACGACGGGUAGCCGGCCUGAGAGGGCGACCGGCCACACUGGGACUGAGACACGGCCCAGACUCCUACGGGAGGCAGCAGUGGGGAAUCUUGCGCAAUGGGCGAAAGCCUGACGCA